GUAAGUCAAGAACGGGUGUGAGAGUGGAAAGUUCACACUGUGACGGUAGCUUACCAGAAAGGGACGGCUAACUACGUGCCAGCAGCCGCGGUAAUACGUAGGUCCCGAGCGUUGUCCGGAUUUAUUGGGCGUAAAGCGAGCGCAGGCGGUUUGAUAAGUCUGAAGUUAAAGGCUGUGGCUCAACCAUAGUUCGCUUUGGAAACUGUCAAACUUGAGUGCAGAAGGGGAGAGUGGAAUUCCAUGUGUAGCGGUGAAAUGCGUAGAUAUAUGGAGGAACACCGGUGGCGAAAGCGGCUCUCUGGUCUGUAACUGACGCUGAGGCUCGAAAGCGUGGGGAGCGAACAGGAUUAGAUACCCUGGUAGUCCACGCCGUAAACGAUGAGUGCUAGGUGUUGGAUCCUUUCCGGGAUUCAGUGCCGAAGCUAACGCAUUAAGCACUCCGCCUGGGGAGUACGACCGCAAGGUUGAAACUCAAAGGAAUUGACGGGGGCCCGCACAAGCGGUGGAGCAUGUGGUUUAAUUCGAAGCAACGCGAAGAACCUUACCAGGUCUUGACAUCCCGAUGCUAUUUCUAGAGAUAGAAAGUUACUUCGGUACAUCGGUGACAGGUGGUGCAUGGUUGUCGUCAGCUCGUGUCGUGAGAUGUUGGGUUAAGUCCCGCAACGAGCGCAACCCCUAUUGUUAGUUGCCAUCAUUCAGUUGGGCACUCUAGCGAGACUGCCGGUAAUAAACCGGAGGAAGGUGGGGAUGACGUCAAAUCAUCAUGCCCCUUAUGACCUGGGCUACACACGUGCUACAAUGGUUGGUACAACGAGUUGCGAGUCGGUGACGGCGAGCUAAUCUCUUAAAGCCAAUCUCAGUUCGGAUUGUAGGCUGCAACUCGCCUACAUGAAGUCGGAAUCGCUAGUAAUCGCGGAUCAGCACGCCGCGGUGAAUACGUUCCCGGGCCUUGUACACACCGCCCGUCACACCACGAGAGUUUGUAACACCCGAAGUCGGUGAGGUAACC
rnacentral:rRNA from 1 species